AUUGAACGCUGGCGGCAUGCCUCACACAUGCAAGUCGAACGGCAGCACUGGAGCAAUCCUGGUGGCGAGUGGCGAACGGGUGAGUAAAGUAUCGGAACGUGCCCAGUCGUGGGGGAUAACGUAGCGAAAGUUACGCUAAUACCGCAUACGAUCUAUGGAUGAAAGCGGGGGAUCGCAAGACCUCGCGCGAUUGGAGCGGCCGAUAUCAGAUUAGGUAGUUGGUGGGGUAAAGGCCCACCAAGCCGACGAUCUGUAGCUGGUCUGAGAGGACGACCAGCCACACUGGGACUGAGACACGGCCCAGACUCCUACGGGAGGCAGCAGUGGGGAAUUUUGGACAAUGGGCGAAAGCCUGAUCCAGCCAUGCCGCGUGCAGGAUGAAGGCCUUCGGGUUGUAAACUGCUUUUGUACGGAACGAAAAGGACUGCCCUAAUACGGUGGUCCCAUGACGGUACCGUAAGAAUAAGCACCGGCUAACUACGUGCCAGCCGCCGCGGUAAAAC
rnacentral:rRNA from 1 species